rfam:Haliaeetus albicilla contig98956, whole genome shotgun sequence.
GCACCAGUGGUGUAGUGGUAUCAUGCAAGAUUCCCAGUCUUGUGACCCGGGUUCGAUUCCUGGCUGGUGCA